GUUGGGCAUGGCAGUACACACCUGUAGUGCCAGUUACUUGGGAGGCCAAGAGAGGAUGAUCGCACAGAGCCCAGCAGUUCUGGGAUAUGGUGUGCUAUGCUGAUUGGGUGACCACAUUAAAUUUGGCUUCAAUAUGGUGACCUCUCAGGAGCAAAGGACCACCAGGUUGUCUAAGGAGAGGUGAACCCAGGUUGGAAACAGCAGAUCAAAAUUCCCAUGCUAAUCAGUAGUGGGAUCAUGCCUGUGAAUAGGCAGGCACCCCAGCCUGUAAAACAGUAAGAUUCAUCUCUUA
ensembl:misc_RNA Metazoa_SRP Metazoan signal recognition particle RNA